AAAGAUCAUAGUGAACCACAGGAAUUGCUUGGGACUGCAAGUCUGCCUAUCAUGGAACUGGACCACUGAAUAUUCAUUCACAGCAAAUUCAGCUGAGAACAUUGUCUUAGUGGCAACCAUCUCUCAAGGGCCAAUCUUGGUCUGUCAGCCUUGUAAAACCUUAUGUAUCUUCAGGACAUGAUCCCCAAUCUCAACAGGCUGAGUUGCAAAGACGGCCCUGCAUCCAGGUCUCCAUUGCAAUGCUGCUGCUCCUGGUGAAGACUCCUGCAGAUUUC